rnacentral:tRNA from 1 species
GCCCUUGUAGUUCAACGGAUAGAACAUCAGUUUUCUAAACUGAAUAUGGAGGUCCGACUCCUCCCAGGGGCA